AUACGUAGGGGGCGAGCGUUGUCCGGAAUUACUGGGUGUAAAGGGUGCGUAGGCGGGACUGCAAGUCAGAUGUGAAAUGCCGGGGCUCAACCCCGGAGCUGCAUUUGAAACUGUGGUUCUUGAGUGAGGUAGAGGUAAGCGGAAUUCCUAGUGUAGCGGUGAAAUGCGUAGAUAUUAGGAGGAACAUCGGUGGCGAAGGCGGCUUACUGGGCCUUUACUGACGCUGAGGCACGAAAGCGUGGGGAGCAAACAGGAUUAGAUACCCUGGUAGUCCACGCUGUAAACGAUGAUGACUAGGUGUGGGGGGACUGAACCCUUCCGUGCCGCAGUUAACACAAUAAGUCAUCCACCUGGGGAGUACGGCCGCAAGGUUGAAACUCAAAUGAAUUGACGGGG
rnacentral:rRNA from 1 species